GAUGAACGCUGGCGGCGUGCCUAAUACAUGCAAGUCGAGCGAACAGACGAGGAGCUUGCUCCUCUGACGUUAGCGGCGGACGGGUGAGUAGCACGUGGAUAACCUACCUAUAAGACUGGGAUAACUUCGGGAAACCGGAGCUAAUACCGGAUAAUAUAUUGAACCGCAUGGUUCAAUAGUGAAAGACGGUUUUGCUGUCACUUAUAGAUGGAUCCGCGCCGCAUUAGCUAGUUGGUAAGGUAACGGCUUACCAAGGCAACGAUGCGUAGCCGACCUGAGAGUGUGAUCGGCCACACUGGAACUGAGACACGGUCCAGACUCCUACGGGAGGCAGCAGUAGGGAAUCUUCCGCAACGGGCGAAAGCCUGACGGAGCAACGCCGCGUGAGUGAUGAAGGUCUUCGGAUCGUAAAACUCUGUUAUUAGGGAAGAACAAAUGUGUAAGUAACUAUGCACGUCUUGACGGUACCUAAUCAGAAAGCCACGGCUAACUACGUG
rnacentral:rRNA from 1 species